AGAGUUUGAUCAUGGCUCAGGAUGAACGCUAGCUGGAGGCUUAAUACAUGCAAGUCGAGCGGGAUUGGGUAGCAAUACCCAUGAGAGCGGCGCACGGGUGAGUAACGCGUACACGACCUACCUUUGACUGGGGGAUAGCCCUGGGAAACUGGGAUUAAUACCGCAUAUAAUUCUGAAUAAUAAAGGUUUGGAAUGAAAGUUCAGGCGGUCAGAGAUGGGUGUGCGUCUGAUUAGCUAGUUGGUAAGGUAACGGCUUACCAAGGCGAUGAUCAGUAGGGGGCGUGAGAGCGUGGACCCCCACACGGGUACUGAGACACGGACCCGACUCCUACGGGAGGCAGCAGUAAGGAAUAUUGGACAAUGGCCGCAAGGCUGAUCCAGCCAUCCAGCGUGCAGGAAGAAGGCCCUACGGGUUGUAAACUGCUUUUGUCAGGGAAUAAACCUGUGGAUUUACUCCGCAGCUGAAGGUACCUGAAGAAUAAGCACCGGCUAACUCCGUGCCAGCAGCCGCGGUAAUACGGAGGGUGCGAGCGUUAUCCGGAAUUACUGGGUUUAAAGGGUGCGUAGGCGGCCAUGUAAGUCAGGAGUGAAAGUUUGCGGCUCAACCGUAAAAUUGCUUUUGAUACUGCAUGGCUGGAAUCAGGAUGAGGUUAGCGGAAUGUGGCAUGUAGCGGUGAAAUGCAUAGAUAUGCCAUAGAACACCAAUUGCGAAGGCAGCUGGCUAGACCUGUAUUGACGCUGAGGCACGAAAGCGUGGGGAGCGAACAGGAUUAGAUACCCUAGUAGUCC
rnacentral:rRNA from 1 species